rnacentral:rRNA from 1 species
UGGGGAAUAUUGGACAAUGGGCGCAAGCCUGAUCCAGCCAUGCCGCGUGAGUGAUGAAGGCCCUAGGGUUGUAAAGCUCUUUCACCGGUGAAGAUAAUGACGGUAACCGGAGAAGAAGCCCCGGCUAACUUCGUGCCAGCAGCCGCGGUAAUACGAAGGGGGCUAGCGUUGUUCGGAUUUACUGGGCGUAAAGCGCACGUAGGCGGACUAUUAAGUCAGGGGUGAAAUCCCGGGGCUCAACCCCGGAACUGCCUUUGAUACUGGUAGUCUUGAGUUCGAGAGAGGUGAGUGGAAUUCCGAGUGUAGAGGUGAAAUUCGUAGAUAUUCGGAGGAACACCAGUGGCGAAGGCGGCUCACUGGCUCGAUACUGACGCUGAGGUGCGAAAGCGUGGGGAGCAAA